UCAGUCAAGCAUCCUCAUCCACAAAACUUCGAUACAGUCAUACAUCCCUACCGAUUCGGUUAUAAAUUUGUUUCCACCGAGAAUACAUAGUUCACAAAUCGAGAAAUUCAUAAGUAUGUAUGUAAUCUGUCCUAAAUUUAUAACCCAACAGUUGAUACAUAUUUAUGCAUAUCUUUAUGCACCUCCUGGUUUUAAUCGAAACAGAAUUAUUUUCAGUGUCAUGUUACUAAACGAUAACUACCAUCGUUCCGGUGGAGUCGCACAUACAGGGUGGUUUAAAUUUGUCUAAAAGUGUCUACAAACUUGACGAGAUCAUGUGGCCCAUUCUGCCACUCGUUUUAUCCACGCUGUUAUGCAUUGUCACCAUAAUUCCGGUUACCCUAAUCAUACUUUUCUUCCAAGUGGUGCGCCUCCUCGUCGAGCUGGACGCCGAAUUCCGCUUACCGACUUUAUUCAGGAGUUUUUCUUUCUGAAGAGAAAACCAAGCAGUGAUAAAUAUAUCACUAACAAUUAAAUAUUUGUGUAAGUUACACCGGGAUUUUUUGAGAAUUACAUACAUCAAAACAUAAAAUUGUAAAUGUUUCUCUUUUACUUUAUGAAAUUUUGGCGAGUGCUAUAAUUUAAUAUUUAUGUUUAACGAAGUCUUACACUAUUAGAAAAAUCAAAUUUGAAAAAAACCCAUUCAAGUCGACAGAACGUAAAAUUCGCCAGUAAUGAAAAAAAAAUAUUUUUUUUAGAAUCUAGAACAAAAUUAUGACAAAUAAAAAUAAAAACAAAUAAAAAAUAUUUAGAUCUAUGAAUAAACGAUGACAACCGAUAAUAUGUAUAAAUCCGCCAUUUAUGACAAAAAUAUUCUAGAAAAAUUAUCAUAAAAUAAA